rnacentral:rRNA from 1 species
UACAGAGGUCUCGAGCGUUAGGCGGAAUUACUGGGCUUAAAGCGUGUGUAGGCGGAUCGUUAAGUACCUUGUGAAAUCCCACGGCUUAACCGUGGAACUGCUUGGUAUACUGGCGGUCUUGAGCCAGCUAGGGGCUACCGGAACAAAUGGUGGAGCGGUGAAAUGCGUAGAUAUCAUUUGGAACGCCAAUGGUGAAAACAGGUAGCUGGGGCUGUGCUGACGCUGAGACACGAAAGCCAGGGGAGCAAACGGG